AUUGAACGCUGGCGGCAUGCCUUACACAUGCAAGUCGAACGGCAGCACGGGAGCAAUCCUGGUGGCGAGUGGCGAACGGGUGAGUAAUAUAUCGGAACGUGCCCAGUCGUGGGGGAUAACGUAGCGAAAGCUACGCUAAUACCGCAUACGAUCUACGGAUGAAAGCGGGGGAUCGCAAGACCUCGCGCGAUUGGAGCGGCCGAUAUCAGAUUAGCUAGUUGGUGGGGUAAAAGCUCACCAAGGCGACGAUCUGUAGCUGGUCUGAGAGGACGACCAGCCACACUGGAACUGAGACACGGUCCAGACUCCUACGGGAGGCAGCAGUGGGGAAUUUUGGACAAUGGGCGCAAGCCUGAUCCAGCAAUGCCGCGUGCAGGAUGAAGGCCUCGGUUGUAACUAGCUUUGUACGGUACGAAACGGUGAGCUCUAAUAAAGACUUGCUAAUGACGGUACCGUAAGAAUAAGCACCGGCUAACUACGUGCC
rnacentral:rRNA from 1 species